GAUAUUUGCCACGCGGAGGUUCCGAAUGAAAUGGAGAGUGCGGUUCGAGCCGCGAGCGAAAGUAUCCCCGUUCAUUUCUCCGUUAGGCGCACGAAAAUCCGAAAACGAAAAACCGGCUUGUCCCGUUGCGCACGGCAGAUCCUUCUGACUAGCAUGAACAAAUAGAAAGUCGGGCAAUUUAUAGCAUCACCCGUUAGAGAGGCCAGCUUGAGUGCACGUACACCGAGCAGACAUUCAGUGAUCUUCUCCUUGAAAGACGGAGUGCCAAAGCGAAAAGGUCCCGUCAUAUCUGCGACGCGAUUUUUCUUUCAGCUGCACCGUGCACAGCGUGGCUAUAUUUAACAACACUUUUCAACAAUAAUUUUCCGUUUCGGUAAUCGAUAGGUGAUUUUUGGCGGCCUUGACGCGCUAUCGACGAACACGAAAAGCGUUCUUGGAUCAUUUUCAACUUUGUGAAUUUCUCAUGCUCCAACCAUAACGGCUGUGCGAAUGAUUUUUGCACGGAACGAUUCUGUAGUCUCUCUCAAGAUAUUUCGAAGGAUAAAUCAAAGGCCUUAGAUUAAACUGAUUGCAUGUAAAAUGUAUUUGGAUCAUAGAGAUUUCUGAUACUGGUCCAAAUAAUCGAGGUUCUACAGUACCACACUUUUAUGGAAUUUUUCAAGGCUCUGGAAUUGGCAGUCAAAGUGUUAAGACACCUGAGUUCCGAAGUAUCUAUCGCUCGCCUCAAUCCGAUCUCUGGUCGUUUCUAAAGUGGGCGUGCAUCUACAUGUACGUAAACAAUCUACAACUCUUAGAACAGUAACCAAUUCUCCAUGGUAUGUUCGAAAUGACGAUAUUCGGAACGAUCUCGAAGUUAAAACAGUUUCCGACGAAAUCACUAGUCCCUGCGGCAGCUAUAAAAAAGGAAUAGACAGUCAACCCAAUGAACUAGCAAAAAGAACUGUAAAGAAGAACUAGUCUGUCUUGCAGACUGCAUAAGAAACAUCCAAAGGAUCUUCUAUCCUAACGGCACCAAGCCACGACAGAUGGCAUCCACAGAGAUAAUAUCUACGUGUUAAUUAACCAAAACCGAUGCUACAAUUUACCGAAUAUCCUUGCUGGACAAAUUGUAAAGACUCUUGAAAAUAACAAAAAAGAAAAGGAAACAUGAUUGAAAUCGAUCUGGUACAAAAAUUUCCGAGCAUCGAAAUGUUGCAAAGAAGAGCUUAAAAUAGUAUGCGAGGGCUCUGUGACGGACUUUUAGAAAAUCCAUUUCAUUCACAUCCUCAUCACAGCGUCGAAAAGUACUUGGAGCUCGAGCAAACUGUUAAAAUAAGCAUGAUUUUCGGGAUUUUGUCGAUAUCGUGAAACGCUGACGAAACUUCUCAUCACUUUCCAUAUAUAUUCUUUUUGCAUAUUUUAAAACACUCCGUUUUAUUAUUUUACUCUAGAUCGAAGGAAGAAAUUCUAGACCGAACGCCGAUCAACACCGUCGACCGGGAGGUUCGCGAAGAACAAUAUUUACAAUCUCGGUAAACGUCGAUAAAUUUUAACGAGAGAGAACUGUACGUGUCUUGAAAUGCGAAAGAAUAUGUAUGGAAAGUGACGAAAAUCGAUGUUUUACGUAAUAGAACAAUCGUCGAAAAUCAUUCUUAUUUUAACGAUUUACUUAAGGCUCCUCCCCCCUUAAUUGGUACGUAACUUUCACUAUUCCCCAUUGUCCCUGUUCUCUUUGAUUGACAACGCGAAAAGUGAGCAUAAAUUCAGGCGUGUGGCAAACAUGUCGUAAAAAAAAAGCAAAUUGCAAAGCAACGAUUUAGAAAAUUAGAUACGUGUCACGUUUGCAUGAUUGCCACAGAUUUGAUCGUUUUCCAAUAAGGCUGUAACGUUGAUAUAUUAAUUACAUGUGUCAUAGUUCAGCUCGGCUAAUCGGUUUUUCUACCUGCCCAUUAUAUUUCCCAGUGGCCAAGUAACGGUCCGCGGAUCCUACCUGACCCCUUUUUUAUCGAUAAUUAAAAAGUCCGCAAAAACGAGACGGAAUUCUAGUCGUGCCGGCUCUCAAAAAUAGGGGGCAACGGGGUUUUCAUUACGCAUUCUUCGAGUUACAACACGAGUUUAGCACCUGAUACAUUCCAUUCCGAGCGAUGCACCUCGAACGCGUCUCGAUUACAACAACCAUGGGGACACUAGAAACCGAUUCUUCUGGUCCCCCUGUAUGAACAACGACGACCUGUUAAAAUCACCGAUCUGGAAACGAGAGAUCGGAAGCUGAUGAUUGUAGACGCUAAGAAAAGAGUUGGAAAACGUUCUUGAAUGUCGGGAUCGUGCCGGGGAAUUGAUGUAAGGUUAAACCACAUACGCACUCGUAAAUUGCGAACGUAUCGGCUAUCAGAGGAUCAAUAGAAGAUGCGACCGGAUAGUUCGAACGACAGGAGUGCAUUUGCUGUAUUGAAUUGCAUUUGCUGCGAUCGAAACAAGAAAAUGAUUUACUACGCUAAAUGCGCAUAUGUGUACGAAGGGUUAAAAACGUUGCGCGCGUGCAUGACGUUGUUCCGAAAAAAAGUGUUACAUAUCGCGAAUGGACAGAUUGUAUCUUCGAACGAGUUAAAGACUAUCGACUUUGUUUAUCGACUUCGCUUAAACGGCAAAACAGUAAUCAACAAAAAGAGGGUCGACAACGCGAUAACUUCUCCGAAAUCAGCGAUACUUUUUAUCGACGUUUUUCUACAGAAUUUGAACGAUAUUCAUUUUAGUUGAGUAGGUUCUUUCAUCACGAACAGAUAUGUAUAUCGAUUACGUAAGAAUCUACAUAAUUCAACAGUUUUGCGAUAAAGCUAGUUUAUGCUGAAUUUUUAAUUGCGAUGCGGAUGAUAAUAACGAAUCGAUUAAACGAAAUUAAUUUCACCACCGUCGAAUGGCACAGUUCACGAUCUUUGUUCAUUGUGUUACCGUAACUGUGCUCGUUCGAAAUCGGUGAAAUGAAAAGUAAGGGUUGGGUUGCACGGAAGACGUGUUUGAAACAGCUUCCGUUGAAAACUGGACCAUUCAGCAGUUACAAAAUCGCGCCCGUUACUCGUAAAUGCCAGCCCAUUUUCAGGGAGUAAUUGCAGCCUCGCAACCGGUUGAAAGAAUUGCCACUAUCUGGCGGAACGUAAACAUGAUUUAUUUGCACCGUUCACCUUGUUGAAUAGAAAAACGGUUCUUUAAAUAUAUUAUCAUUCAUAUAUAAUGUCAUUGGUUUUCAUUAACAUUAUCCGCAUUGGACGCGCAGAAACUAAACGAUGACGUUCGUUUGAAUGUUGAAUUAAUUUCUGCGGUUAAGUUGAUGGUUAUACUUUCUUGAAAAUGAGUGGCUAUCUAUAUUCAAAUAUAAACUUUUAUCAGUUAAUUUAUAGAAAAGAGAAACGAAGAAUUAUCAGCGUAACAAAUUUUGCGUAGAAACACAGCGUAAGUGCAAUGAAAUUUUAGUCUCAUAAGCUAGCUUGUGAUGGUAUCAGGUGAUACAAUAGACAAAAAAAAUGUAUGCAAAUGAAAUAUGUUUCAUCAUUCGAGGAUAUAAAAAAUAUAUCUUUUUCUCUUAUA